AUAUAGAUUAGUUAGUUCUGACAAAUGCCAGUAAUCGUUGCUACGCAUGCGUUAAGUUUACUGUUUCAACAUGGUUGGCAAGUUGACCCUAACAAAUUCUUCAGUUUUGGGGUGAACCACACUAUUAGCAUCUCUCCCCCUCAAAGAACAAUGGGAUGUAGAAGAGGCCUUCACGAUGAAGAAAAGUCUGUAAUCAUCAAGGAAAGUGCUGAAGGUGCUUCUCAUCAUGAAAGGUGAAAGGUUGAUGAUGUAUUUGCCAGCAUCCAUGGAUCUCAACCCUAUCGAAAAUCUUUGGUCCAUCAUUAAACAAGAUGUUUAUACUGAUGGAUGCCAAUUUACAUAGAAAGAUGUCUUAUGGGCGACCAUGGAAGCUGCAGCAGAGGCAGUCCAACCUGCUACUAUUAAGAAAUUGACAGAUUCUAUGACUAAAGGGAUUUUGAAGUUAUCUGUUGAAAUGGCACGCAUGUGGCCAAAUAAUUCAUUAUGUCAAUAAAUGUUAUAAUAUUA
rnacentral:misc_RNA from 1 species